rnacentral:rRNA from 1 species
GUCUACAGCCAUACCACCCUGAACGCGUGCUCUCAUCUGAUCUUGGAAGCUAACAGGGCCGGGCCUGGUUAGUACUUGGAUGGGAGUCCAGCCUUCAAAAGGCUGCUCGGCUGGAGGCA